rnacentral:lncRNA from 1 species
GUUGCGUAAAGUCAGGCACCAUUAAUAUCUCGCUAAAAACAGUUUGUCUGAUAUCAUUAUAAAAUGUGCAGUUUAUAAGAAAAUGUAGCUCACUUUCAACAUUUUGAGAAUUACAAAAUCGGCAUAGUCUGUUUUCUACUGGUUCCCCAAUAUAUCUACCAGUCUCAAUUCUGAUCGGUAAUAAUCCGCAUCUAAACUGGGCUAG